rnacentral:rRNA from 1 species
GACAGAGGGUGCAAACGUUGCUCGGAAUCACUGGGUGUAAAGGGCGUGUAGGCGGGACGGUAAGUCGGGCGUGAAAUCCCUAGGCUCAACCUAGGAACUGCACUCGAAACUACCAUUCUUGAGUGUCGGAGAGGAAAGCGGAAUUCCUGGUGUAGAGGUGAAAUUCGUAGAUAUCAGGAGGAACACCAGUGGCGAAGGCGGCUUCUGGACGAUAACUGACGCUGAGACGCGAAAGCGUGGGGAGCAAACAGG